AUGCCUCUGGUUCCAGCAGACUAUAAGAAUGUCAUACGUCCUCUAUUUGACAAAGUAAGACCAUGUGUUGUUUCUAUUGAAGCAUAUGCCAAGGCUGUCAUCAAAGAGGAAACAUUGCCAUUGGCAGAUGAACAUAAGGAUGUCACAAACGUCAAAAAGGAGGAAAACAAAUGGAAAGCUGCUGGGACCGGAUUUGUAGUUCACUGCAGCAAUAAUUUCACGGUUGUAACAGUGCAUACAUCUUUCAAGUUCCAAGGCCAAAACGCAGUUGUGAAGUUCUCGGAUGGAACGGAAGCUACCGAUACAAGGGUGAUUAAACUGAAAGGGCCCAUGAACCUUAUUGUGGCAAAUAUUCCUCAUGGUGAUUGGAAAGCAGUUCGGUAUGACCAAAUCAGAGAGGACGGGUAUUCUCAGAUUGUGCUCUCCAUUUUCUCCCUAAUGUAUUGGCGAUUACCGUGUGUAUGUCGUAUUAUUUCGCCAAGAUGCACUGCUGUCCUUGCCAAUGGCCGCAAGGUCCCUGGAAGUGAGCAGACCUUCAGCUUCAACCUUCCAGUGGCAGGAAAACAACGGAAAGACGAAUAUGAAAAUCAUGAUAAGCAGUUUUGUUACUUGAGAGAUUACGUUCUUGGAGCUCCGGUCUUCGAUACAUAUGGAAAACUUGUUGGAUUUGUUAAUCAAUGUGGAAAGGCUUUUGACUUUAAGUUCGGCGUGAGAUCAGAAUAUUUACAAGAUGCAUUGUAUAAGUGGUUGGCGGGGAAACAAUGGAAGGAUGUACUCAACCCAAGGUCGCAGAUUUGGCAUCCAGACGACAAGGAGCACGUUGAUUCGUCAGUGGGACUGAGGGGAGGUGUAGGGGGUUUGCCGCAUGUGCCUCUGGAUCAAGAAGACAACUUUCAGUUUGAUUCGUCGGUGGGACUAAGGGGAGGUGUAGGGGGUAGGGGGUUUGCCGUAUGUGCCUCUGUAGAAGAAGACAACUUUCAGUUUGAUUCGUUAAUAGCUAGUGGCGACAAGGAAAAGGAAUCUGAAGGAGAGAAAGUGGUGGUGGUGGACAAGGUCAGCUCAGACAUUGUGGAUCUUCGUACCAACAAUUUCGUAGCAGACGGUGUUAUCACCAAGUACUUGAAACAUUUAUCUUCUACUAAGCUCAAUAAUGAUGAUGAAGUGUAUCUUGCUGAUGCAACGGUGUCUUCGGCGUAUGCUCAAGAUGCUUCAGCCAUCAAUGUCGAGUUACUACGACGCAGUCGCCUUGUGCUCUUGCCGGUUAACAACAACACCAAUUUUGGGCGGGCAGACAUGGGCACACAUUGGUCUUUAUUCCUUAUUGAUGCCAUCAACGGGCCACCACCACAGUUCUACCACAUGGAUUCUCUGGAUGGACUAAACCGUUCUGCUGCAGAUCGUCUUGCUACAGCACUCGGUGCAGUCUUCCCUGACGCACCCGGUGUUGUGCAGGUGUCCACACCAAGACAAAAAAAAUCGUAUGAUUGUGCAAUAUAUGUCAUGGCGUUGGCAAAAAGUAUCAUUACAUGGUGGAAAAGCAGAACCGAGUCCACAAAGCAUUGGAUGCAAAUGAUACAGACAGACGUGACCGAAGAGAAUGUCCAUACCUUGAGACACGACUUUGCUGAUCGACUAGAGCAGGAUGAAAAAAAUCAAAAGGUUGAGUGCAAUAAGGAGGAGAAAGCCAAGGAGUGA
rnacentral:rRNA from 1 species